rnacentral:lncRNA from 1 species
UAUAAACAAAAAAGGAUUGAAAUUAAAUAUAUCAAGAAUAAUGGAGUAGCAAAUAAUUAAAUAAAAUAUGAAACAAACUCAAACAAAGUAAAGGAUUAAAUUAAAAUCAAAACAGAAUCGGAAGGAGAAAAAUGAAAAUAAAUCAAAAUGGAGGGCAAAAUCGUGGCGCACGAAUAAUAUGAGGACCGAAUGGGAAAUAUUCCCUUCCCCCAAAAUGCAGUGUCUUUAGUGUGGACCGAAACAUGAUCACAUCAAACAUACAGGAUCGAUUUAGAAAAUAAAGAAAGAUCGGAUUGAAACCACGAAACAAAUCAGAAGGGCUAAUGGCACAAAUGUCCCCUUCGAGACCAAAACGCACGAGUCUGGCCACGCUCGGGUCGGGUCAUCGGGUACUGCCAAUACGGUGUCGUUUUAAACCAUUGAAACACGGUCUAAACGACAUCGUUUCAAAAAUCAGUAUUAAAUAAAAAAAACUAAACCUAAGUUUGGAUACCCUAAAAUCGGAUACCAGAGGACUCACCUCCCUCCGCCGUUGCACAAGCCCGAACCCUAUCCAACUCCAUUUCGGACGGAAUCGACAGGGCUCCGACGGCACGCUUUCGCGAAUGUAAGAGUCUCCUUCCUCCUCUUCUUUUAUUUUUCGUUUCUAAAGUAGGAACAAAUCGAAGAAAACCGAAAAUAAAAAAAAUAGAAAUAAAAGAUCAGACAAAAUCGGAGAAUCACCUAAACGAUAUGUUUUUC